AAAGUCGGUCAGGUAAUCGCUCUUUGUUUCAGGCUCAGUUGAAUUUAAAACUCAACUGGCCUGCAAAGGGAGGAAAGUCCGGGCUCCUCAGGACAGAGUGCCAGGUAACGCCUGGGAGGCGUAAGCCUACGGAAAGUGCCACAGAAAAUAUACCGCCUGUUAUUGCUAAGCGACAAACAGGUAAGGGUGAAAUGGUGCGGUAAGAGCGCACCGCGCGAUUGGUAACAGUCGUGGCAGGGAAAACCCCACUUGGAGCAAGACCAAAUAGGAAUCCAUUUGGCUGAUUUGCCAUCACGUACGGUCCGUACGGGAUUCGGGUAGGUCGCUUGAGGUAUACGGUGACGUGUAUCCCAGAUGAAUGAUUACCCACGACAGAACCCGGCUUAUCGACCGACUUUUUUA
rfam:Legionella israelensis strain Bercovier 4 Lisr_ctg052, whole genome shotgun sequence.